CGGGCUAUAGCGCAGUUGGUUAGCGUGCAUGUCUGGGGGGCAUGAGGUCACCGAUUCGAAUUCGGUUAGCCCGA
rnacentral:tRNA from 1 species